ACUCCUACGGGAGGCAGCAGUGGGGAAUAUUGCACAAUGGGGGAAACCCUGAUGCAGCCAUGCCGCGUGUGUGAAGAAGGCCUUCGGGUUGUAAAGCACUUUCAGUCGUUAGGAAGGUAGUGUAGUUAAUAGCUGCAUUAUUUUGACGUAGCGACAGAAGAAGCACCGGCUAACUCUGCCAGCAGCCGCGGUAAUACGGAGGGUGCGAGCGUUAAUCGGAAUUACUGGGCGUAAAGCGCAUGCAGGUGGUUUGUUAAGUCAGAUGUGAAAGCCCGGGGCUCAACCUCGGAAUUGCAUUUGAAACUGGCAGACUAGAGUACUGUAGAGGGGGUGAGAAUUGAUCAGGUGUAGCGGUGAAAUGCGUAGAGAUU
rnacentral:rRNA from 1 species